GGGAAGGACCAUAGCUCAGUGGUAAAGCGGUUUGCAUGCAAAAGGUCCUAGGUUUAAUUCCUGGUGUCCCCA